CGUUGGGAUAGUGCAAGCACGAUUUUUGACGGUAGUCUAUAUAAACGUUUUCGGGUGAACUGCGGUCUUGUGUAGUCAGUGUAGUGAUUGUUUGUUUAAAUAAUAUCUAAUAAUUAAAAAUGGCUGAAGAAAAUAGUUGGUCUAGCGAACAAGAUGAAAUUUUAAUUGAUUUUGUUCGAACUCAUGAAUCACUUUUUAAGGCAGGAAAUUGGGAUAAUACUUCGUAAAACAGGUGAGUAUUAUUAAUUAAUAAUAUAAUUAUUAUAUACAUACAUAUCUAAGGUUUUAUUGUUCUCUAAAGUAACGAUCUUGCCAUUCAAUGGCGCCAAGUCCAUUGAAAUAAUUCUUGAAUUUAUCACGAAUUUCAAGUGAUGUCUGUCGGGCACGUGCAUUAUUUUCCGCUAGAUUAAUUAGAUUUUGUGUUGGUAGAGGCAUAACAUCAUCUACUGUAGCUUGAUUAGGAGCAGGUAUUUUUGCUUCACGCAAUAUAUUGUGCAAUAUACAGGCACACAAAAUUAACAUAUCUGUUGUUUCGGGACGUAAAACUAUGGGUUCAAAGAAAAUGCGAAAAUAUGCACAUAGUAUUCCGAAAGCAUUUUCAGUUGUACGCCUCACCCUGUAAUAUAUCUUGUGUGCUGAAGAUUCCAAUAAUAAAAUUAGAUGUAAGAGCCAAAGAAUCAAGCAGUCAGAAUUUACCAAGUUUGUCAAAAUCCGUUAACAUGUUUUUAAAUGGCGAGCUGUCAAAUAUUGGCCAAAAAAGUAGGUGCGUCGAUUUUUAUGACGAGCAGUUUAGUAUAUUAAUCUACGAGAUGAGAAAAUGUUUGAUUAUUGUCGAGAGAUUGUGUAAUCUUAAAAAUGAUAAAAUUUUCCAAGAAGUGCUGUUUACAAUCCCAUUUUCAACCAUGAUUAUUUCUAUCAGAUGGUUAAUGUAGCAAAUACUGACAAAAUAUUUAAUUUAGUACCUGUUGUGGAGAAGUGACAUGGUAUGGUAUAUGGGAACGGUACUGGAAGUAAAAUGCAACAAAUUGGGGAUUCUGGAACUGUUUCUGCGAGGGAAGAAGAAUACAGUAAAGUCAAGUCUAAAUUUUACAGAAAAUUUCUUUUAUUAAAGGCAUUUAAUAAAAAAAAUCUUGAAAAUUUAGACUUGACUUUGCUGUACUCUCCUUUCCUCGCGUAAAAUACAAACGUGACUCUUCCAAACUAUUAAAAAUACAGUAAUGUCAACAUUACAUAUUAUUAUAGAGCUAGUUAAAAACAAACAAUUACAUAUAAUGAUAGUGUGAUAUUUAAUUAUUUUUUGACAUUUCAGAUAUUGUCUGCAGUAAACGUUGGGCUUAUAUUAGAGACUAUAUUAUACUACUACAUUAGGAAAAGGGGAAAAUCCAGUACCGGAUCAGUAGGAGAAGCUGCAAAAAAGGUCGGAGUUACUGUGUUUUUUAGAUAGCUGCCCAAAACAGUAAGUAACAUUGAAAAUACUGAAAAGACAAGCCAAAGCUCUCAGGAAGAUAUGAAUCAGAUCAAUAUACAAAACAUGUCCGAAAUAGAUAGUAGCGAAAAACAAAGCUUACCUAUACAGACAUAAAACACUAGGUCCUGGAAUGUCUGCCGGAUAGAAUCGGAAAAGACAGAGAUAUUGUAUAUCGGAGAUAUACAAUACUCCUAGGAUUGCCAGUACCAGUAGUACGACUUCUAAAUCGACAUUAUAUUCAGUAAAAAAACGUAAAUCAAGUGCUAAUUCCGACGCCCGACUUCAACUGCUACAAGAUAUUGCUCAUAGAACAGGACAUGCGCAGGAAGCUCAAGACGAGAAUGACUUAUUUUUUGCAUCUAUGGCUAAAAUUGUUAAAAAACUACCUACACCAGAACAGGUAAGGCUCAGGCUGCACAUAGCUACUAUGAUUGGAAAUGCAGAAUUAGCACUAUACAAUCAAAGCAGGAUUGUCCAGAGUAAUGAGAGCAUCUGCUUUGUCUCUCCAGGAUCAUCCACCUCCAACUCCACUGCAGAGAGCAAUGAUUUUAAUUUUUAAAAUACACUUCAGACAUUACAAUAAUCUCACGUUACACUACCAUUGUUAUUAGUUACAUUUACUUACCUUAAAAAAAUACAUAGCUUUUGUUCUGCUGAUAUCGGCUUUUUAAUUCGAUUGCUUGCUCUCACAGUAAUAUCAUCGUGAAUUUUAUCCAAUACGUAACGAAACAAUUCGAGAUAAUCGAAAAUAGUCUUUAAAUUUUGUGUCAUUUGAUAUAAGAUGAAGGCAUAUCAGAAUUUCAUAGACACCCUCCGUCUCCCGUUUUUUAUAAAUAUCAGAUUCUUGCCUUCUGCCCUCCUCUUCUGAUGAUUCUUCAUCCUCAAGAACUAUUAGAAUAGCCAAACUUAGAUCGUCCAUCUUGGAAAUACCACACACAAUCGUUGAUUUGAACUGUCAACUGGCUCUUGCCACCGUAUUUUAUCGCACCGUAUUACUUUACAGUAAUAUUCACCGUGCAAAGCGGCCAUACUACUCGUUGACAAAAACGGCCGCCAAAUUACGGCCGCUCUUUUGCGGUACCGCUUCGUAGGAAACGAAGUAGGAAACGAAGCUUAAGCAAAUAGUGAGACGGGUGCAUUCGACACAAUCGUCAUUUGACAUAAUGGACAUUCGACACAAUACCCGCGAAAUAUUUUAAACGUUCGAGUAUGAUCGGUUGGGUCUUUUACACGUCAGCCAAUUUUUAUUCGAAAUAGCUGUAGUGUUGUCAUCUAACACAAAAUAGGGUUAGGUUUAUAUUUAGGAAUUAGUUCAUAUUUAUCGAUAGUUUGCCAAAAGUUAUUAAUUUGUGAGUUCUUCAGUAUAUUUGAAGCUUUAAGAUAUAACUACAAAGAACCUGGGAUGAUACUUCCUGAUACUGAUUAAGAAACACUAUAACUAACUUUGUGUAAUUUAGUACUUGGCCUCCUAUCCUGUGAUUCGUCUUCUUAGAACAUUAAAUACCUUCAUUAUACUUAUUGCGAAGUGAAGAGGAAUUUGACGCCAAAAAAACGAACCAUAACUUGGGAAAGUGCAAGUUUUUGAUCUUGUGAAAGCAUGUUUUUCAUUAAAAAUUAUGGCAAACAAUGUUCCAUUUGACUUGCAUAGGUGUGGUGAUAGUGUUUAUAUUUACUACUUGACUAAUAAACUUGAAAAAGUGCAAUUUAGGAUAAUAUGCUGGAGAAACUGGAUGAUUUUGAUGAAGUCAUAUGCCUCCGAGGAUAUUUGGAUUAUAAACUAUAGUGUAUCACCUUAAAUAUAACAUACUGAAUAACCAAAAGGACUGUAAUAGACUAUACAGUUUUUAAUUUACUUAUACACACACUUAUUGCUAUCAAGUAAUUUGUAACUAACAUUAUUUCUGAAUUGGUGUCAUAAAAAAGUGCAAUGAGCUAUUAGUUAAUAAUAUUUAUAAGUAAGAAAAGAAACAGGUUCUUAGAGAAUAUCAUAUAUUACAGCCUUAUUCAGAUUGAGCCAAGUUUUCAUUUAUAUUGUUGAGUUUUGUCAGGGCUGGAAUGUAUACAAAUUACUGUAACGGUUUGCUAUCUUAUCGACUACCCAUUUUCAAGAUUAAAAAAAAAAGACAGGUACAUAGGAUAGUGAAUGUCGUAUUCAUCAUAAUUUCAUUGUCAGAGACCAAAAAUUUCAAUUUUUUCAAUUUUAUUUUUUUUUAAUCUUUUAAAAAAAAGUGACUAUAUGAAAUAAUUACCCCUGGCGUAACAGUUUACUAUCCUAUCGAACGCCGUUUUUUUGUACGAAUUUAAAAAAUUAAACAGUUACAAAAGUUAAUGUAUGUCGUAUUUAUUAUAAAUUCGAUGUCGGAAGACUCAAUCAUUUGAAAAAAAGAAAAUAAAAAAUAUUAAAAUUUUACCCCUGUUCGUUUUUUUUUGCGCAAUCAGUUUUUCUUAUGAAAAAUGAUUAUUCACCCAACAGGUCCUUUUUGCACCCAGCGCCUUUUUAUAUAAAAGGAAAUCACUACCAACCCAGCUCAGCCCCAACCAACUCAACCCAGCCCAAUGCAACUCAACCCAACCAUACCUAACCCAAUCCCACCCAACCCAGCCCAAAUAAAUUGAAAUUUUUGGUCUCCGACAAUGAAUUUAUGAUGAAUAUAUUUAUGAAUUUAUUAUAUGAUUAUAUUUUAUAUGAUUGUCUAUUAUAUACACUAUUAUAUAAUAGACAAUCUAUAGGAUAGUAAACAAUUACCCAAAUUGAUAGGUUAUGAAAAUCCUGAAAGAUACUUAAUAACUAAUACCCGCAGUUUGUAAAUAAAUAUUUUUUUAAAAUUGU